rnacentral:lncRNA from 1 species
UCAGAAAUUCAUUUGGCCACACUAGAUUCAUUAUAUUUAAAGGUAGUCUAUUAAUUAGACAAUCUACAGAGACACAAUCUGAAAACAUAUCUCUUUUUCUCAGCAUCAUCAGCAGGAAGAGAAAGAGAGCAGCUUCUCCACUGCAGCCCCCUGAUCUCAGUGAUGGAUCAGUGCCCUUUGAUCCUGUUGGUAGGAAAGCUGACCAGAUCAGAUAUGUGUCCUGUCAGACCUUCACAUCCUCCUACUGUCAGAACCAAAUCAAUCAUCAUGACACAGAAGCAGAUCAUCAUGACACAGAAGCAGCUCUACAUCCCUAUUCUCAACCACCAGUGCAUAAUAAUCUGCAGAGAGUCAAAGACCAGCACAAAACCAGCAUGAAGAACAAGUAAGGAGCUUAUUUGAGGGAGUCAGACUACAAGAGAAUCAAACCCUCCUGAACAGGAUUUACACACAGCUGUACAUCAUAGAGGGAGAGAGUGAAGGAGUGAAUGAAGAACAUGAAGUGCUACUGAUAGAGAAAAGUUACAGGACACUCCAAGACACUCCAAUCAACUGCAAUGACAUCUUAAUCCUUACGGAACAGGAUAUGAGGAGAAGAGAAGAGAGACAAGAAAGAACAAAAUAAAGACUAGUUACUUAACGUAAAGGCUUUGUAUGGUCUGGAGUGAAAGACAGAAUUUACGUCUGUAUGUUUUCUAGUACAAGUCAGAAAGUUUACUUGAUGUGAAUGAGA